GAGCUCCCGCCUCCCAUUGGCUCCAAGGAGCUUCACUCCGGCUCUCAGCGAACGAUCCGCGGGAGGAAGCGGAAGGAACCCGUGGGCCCGCUGACGGUGCUAUGGCGGGUGCUGGUGAACUUGCGGGCGGGGACCCCAGUGCAGGCCGCGAGCCUGGGAACCUGUCUGGCGUGCGGCACAUCAUCCUGGUCCUCUCAGGGAAGGGGGGCGUUGGGAAAAGCACCAUCUCCACAGAACUGGCCCUGGCACUGCGCCACCAGGGCAAGAAGGUGGGGAUCCUGGAUGUGGACCUGUGUGGCCCCAGCAUUCCACGCAUGCUCCGGGCACAGGGCAAGGCCGUGCACCAGUGUGACAGUGGCUGGGUGCCUGUCUUUGUGGACCAGGAGCAGAGCAUCUCUCUCAUGUCCGUGGGCUUCCUGCUGGAGAACCCGGACGAGGCCGUGGUGUGGAGAGGGCCCAAGAAGAGUGCGCUGAUAAAGCAGUUUGUGUCUGAUGUGGCUUGGGGAGAGCUGGACUACCUGGUUGUGGACACACCGCCCGGUACCUCUGAUGAGCACAUGGCCACUGUGGAAGCCCUACGCCCCUACAGGCCCCUGGGGGCCCUCAUGGUCACCACUCCACAGGCGGUGUCCGUGGGGGAUGUGAGGCGGGAAUUGACCUUCUGUAGGAAGACGGGGCUGCAGGUGAUGGGGGUCGUGGAGAACAUGAGCGGCUUCGCCUGCCCACACUGCGCCGCGUGCACCAACAUUUUCUCCAGGGGUGGUGGGGAGGAACUGGCUCGGCGAGCGGGAGUUCCCUUCUUAGUCCCCAGGGGGACCCAGCACCUUUCCAGAGGCUGGCCGGCCCUGGAUGGAGCUGCGUGGACAUGUCUACCGGGCCGUCUGUCAGCCCGAGUUCUGAGAUGUGUUUGAAAGCGCAUUCUGGCUGCAAGUUGCGAGUAUCUUCUCUGGUGCUGUGACUGGCCUCAUGCUGCUUCGCUCUCUAGAAGCCUGCGGGGACCACGUGUCGCCUGCAUGCCGCCCUCACCUGCACCCUCCUGAAGCCGCGCCAUGCUGUGUGAUUCCUGUGCUCAGCACUCCCAGCAAGCACACCAGCAGUGGCCUCAGAAAAUGUGUGGACCACGUGGAGCGGCCAGUCCAGCUGAGCACUUGUGCCCAGGUCCUCCCACAGGGCUCGCUCCAUGGGCUGUCAGCUGGGGCACUGCGCCCACUGUGCCAGUGCAGGGUGUGCCCGGUCCAUUUGCCUGGCAGAUCUUGGGGACUGCUGGGGCCCAGGCUCUGGGAUGGCACCUCCUGAGCCUGCAGGGUGACACUGGGUGGCUUAUUUGGUGGUGUUCUUUAGCUGUUCUGAUAAUCCUUCUCUGGUAGCUAGUGGGCUGAAUGUCUUUUGUGUUUACGGGCCAAUUCGUAUUUCUUCAUUGAAAUAGUGUAUUUUUUGCCUAUUUUUAAUUGGAUUGUUUAUAUUCUCAUAACUGAGUUUAGCACUAUAGAUUUGACUUAUUACAGAUCACUUGAUGUGAAAUUUGCCAUCUCUUCCAGUCUGGGCUUGUCUACUGUCAAAAGUCUAGUCCUUUGAAGUACGGAAGACUUUCACUUGCAGAGAACCGGAGUCCCCGCGUCUCUUGCUCCUCGGAGUCUGGGUGUUGCCAACAGCCCCGCCAGAGCCUGUCGCCCUCUCAGCUUGUAGCCUGGGCCCUUCCUCAGUGCUGGGGUCCCACUUGAGUGCAUUUGCAAGUGAGGAGGGUGCCUGGGGCUCAGCCUUCCAUGUCUGGACGUCCGUGUUGGCAGGCCGACUGCCCAGCGCCUUCUCUAGACUUCGGCUCGGACCCUCGCCUCGAGUGGCCCACGCCUCAUCUCUGGUGUGUGAUGAUUCCUGGAAUCAGGUGUUCUGAGGCCCUACGACUUUCCCCCAAGUCGUUUUGGUUCCCUGCGCUUCCAUGUGCACUUAGAAAGCCCUGCUGGAUCUUGCUGGCUGCACUGGACUGCAGAUGGGCUCAGGAGAACUGACCUCUCGACAGUGGCCUUCCGACCAUGAGCAGGAGGCCUUUCCUUUCCUUGGUCUUAUUUUGGAGGUGC